AAAAAACUUUCAACAACGGAUCUCUUGGCUCUGGCAUCGAUGAAGAACGCAGCGAAAUGCGAUAAGUAAUGUGAAUUGCAGAAUUCAGUGAAUCAUCGAAUCUUUGAACGCACAUUGCGCCCCCCGGCACUCCGGGGGGCAUGCCUGUCCGAGCGUCAUCGCACCCCUCAAGCUCGGCUUGGUGAUGGGCCCCGCCCC
rnacentral:misc_RNA from 1 species